rnacentral:rRNA from 1 species
AAUGAACGUUGGCGGCGUGGAUUAGGCAUGCAAGUCGAGGGAGAACCGCAAGGGGACACCGGCGAACGGGGUAGGAUCACGUAGGUGACGUACCCCCAGGGCGAGGAUAGCCACGGGAAACUGUGGGUAAUACUCGAUAACCUUCCCGAUCAUGAUCGAAUGGGAAGCAAUGGGUGAGACUCCACCUGGGGAGCGGCUUACGCAGUAUCAGCUAGUUGGUGAGGUAACGGCUCACCAAGGCUAUGACGCUUAGGGGGUGUGAGAGCAUGGCCCCCACCACUGGCACUGAGACACUGGCCAGACACCUACGGGUGGCUGCAGUCGAGAAUCUUCGGCAAUGGACGAAAGUCUGACCGAGCGACGCCGCGUGCGGGAUGAAGGUCUUCGGAUUGUAAACCGCUGUCAGAGGGGAUGAAGUAUACGAGAGCUAUCUCUUGUAUUUGACAGAGCCUCAGAGGAAGCACGGGCUAAGUUCGUGCCAGCAGCCGCGGUAAUACGAACUGUGCGAACGUUAUUCGGAAUCACUGGGCUUAAAGGGUGCGUAGGCGGUUUUCUAAGUCAGGUGUGAAAUCUUCCGGCUCAACCGGAAAACUGCGCCUGAGACUGGAUAACUUGAGUGAGGUAGGGGUGUGUGGAACUUCCGGUGGAGCGGUGAAAUGUGUAGAGAUCGGAAGGAACGCCAGCAGCGAAAGCGGCACACUGGGCCUUGUCUGACGCUGAGGCACGAAAGCUAGGGGAGUGAACGGGAUUAGAUACCCCGGUAAUCCUAGCCGUAAACACUGAACACUGGAGGACGGGGGCUUCGGCCUUCGUUCUCGUAGCGAAAGCGUUAAGUG